CCGUUCAACUUGUUCCUCCGUGCAAGACGUACAUUGAGGGGAGCUACGGGAG
rnacentral:ncRNA from 1 species